GACGAACGCUGGCGGCGUGCCUAAUACAUGCAAGUCGAGCGGAUGGAAGGAAGCUUGCUUCCUAAAGUCAGCGGCGGACGGGUGAGUAACACGUGGGCAACCUGCCCCUAAGAUCGGGAUAACUUCGGGAAACCGGAGCUAAUACCGGAUAUGAUUAUGUCUCACAUGAGACAAAAUGGAAAGACGGUUUCGGCUGUCACUUAGGGAUGGGCCCGCGGCGCAUUAGCUAGUUGGUGAGGUAACGGCUCACCAAGGCGACGAUGCGUAGCCGACCUGAGAGGGUGAUCGGCCACACUGGGACUGAGACACGGCCCAGACUCAUACGGGAGGCAGCAGGAGGGAAUCUUCCGCAAUGGACGAAAGUCUGACGGAGCAACGCCGCGUGAGUGAAGAAGGUUUUCGGAUCGUAAAACUCUGUUGUUAGGGAAGAACAAGUACCAUAGUAACUGAUGGUACCUUGACGGUACCUAACCAGAAAGCCACGGCUAACUACGUGCCAGCAGCCGCCGUAA
rnacentral:rRNA from 1 species